AAUAAGCAUUCCGCCUGGGGAGUACGGCCGCAAGGUUGAAACUCAAAGGAAUUGACGGGGGCCCGCACAAGCAGCGGAGCAUGUUGUUUAAUUCGAAGCAACGCGAAGAACCUUACCAGGUCUUGACAUCCAUUAAAAGCUAUAGAGAUAUAGUGUGAGCUUGCUCGUAAUGAGACAGGUGGUGCAUGGUUGUCGUCAGCUCGUGUCGUGAGAUGUUGGGUUAAGUCCCGCAACGAGCGCAACCCUUGUGAUUAGUUACUAACGCGUAGAGGCGAGGACUCUAAUAAGACUGCCGGGGACAACUCGGAGGAAGGUGGGGACGACGUCAAAUCAUCAUGCCCCUUAUGACCUGGGCUACAAACGUGCUACAAUGGCCACUACAGAGAGCAGCGAAGUCGCAAGGCGCAGCGAAUCUCAUAAAAGUGGUCCCAGUUCGGAUUGUGGGCUGCAACCCGCCCACAUGAAGUCGGAGUUGCUAGUAAUCGCGAAUCAGCAUGUCGCGGUGAAUACGUUCCCGGGCCUUGUACACACCGCCCGUCACACCAUGGGAGUUGAUAGCGCCCGAAGUCGGUGAGGCAACCAGUAAUGGGGCCAGCCGCCGAAGGUGAGAUCAAUGACUGGGGUGAAGUCGUAACAAGGUAGCCG
rnacentral:rRNA from 1 species